UUAAUUGAAGAGUUUGAUCAUGGCUCAGAUUGAACGCUGGCGGCAGGCUUAACACAUGCAAGUCGAGCGGUAGCACAGGGGAGCUUGCUCCCCGGGUGACGAGCGGCGGACGGGUGAGUAAUGUCUGGGAAACUGCCUGAUGGAGGGGGAUAACUACUGGAAACGGUAGCUAAUACCGCAUAACGUCGCAAGACCAAAGAGGGGGACCUUCGGGCCUCUUGCCAUCAGAUGUGCCCAGAUGGGAUUAGCUAGUAGGUGGGGUAAUGGCUCACCUAGGCGACGAUCCCUAGCUGGUCUGAGAGGAUGACCAGCCACACUGGAACUGAGACACGGUCCAGACUCCUACGGGAGGCAGCAGUGGGGAAUAUUGCACAAUGGGCGCAAGCCUGAUGCAGCCAUGCCGCGUGUGUGAAGAAGGCCUUCGGGUUGUAAAGCACUUUCAGCGAGGAGGAAGGUGGUGA
rnacentral:rRNA from 1 species